UACGAAGGGGGCAAGCGUUGUUCGGAAUUACUGGGCGUAAAGGGUGUGUAGGCGGUUAGAUAAGAUAGCGGUGAAAUGCCGGGGCUUAACCUCGGAAUUGCCGUUAUAACUAUGUAACUAGAGUGGUGCAGAGGAUAUUGGAAUACCCAGUGUAGAGGUGAAAUUCGUAGAUAUUGGGUAGAACACCGGUGGCGAAGGCGAGUAUCUGGGCACAAACUGACGCUGAGGCACGAAAGCAUGGGGAUCAAAC
rnacentral:rRNA from 1 species